GAUCCUGGCUCAGGACGAACGCUGGCGGCGUGCCUAACACAUGCAAGUCGAACGGAACUGUUUUGAAAGAUUUCUUCGGAAUGAAUUUGAUUUAGUUUAGUGGCGGACGGGGUGAGUAACGCGUGAGUAACCUGCCUUCAAGAGGGGGAUAACAUUCUGAAAAGGAUGCUAAUACCGCAUGAUAUAUCGGAACCACAUGGUUUUGAUAUCAAAGAUUUUAUCGCUUGAAGAUGGACUCGCGUCCGA
rnacentral:rRNA from 1 species